rnacentral:piRNA from 1 species
UAGGUAGACAAAAGACAAGCUUCUUU